UACGUAGGGGGCAAGCGUUGUCCGGAAUCACUGGGUUUAAAGGGUGCGUAGGUGGCGCGUUAAGUCCGUUGUGAAAUCCCUUGGCUCAACCAAGGAAUGGCUUCGGAUACUGGCGUGCUUGAGGCCGGUAAGGGUCACUGGAACUGACGGUGGAGCGGUGAAAUGCGUAGAUAUCGUCAGGAACGCCAAUGGUGAAGACAGGUGACUGGGCCGGUUCUGACACUGAGGCACGAAAGCGUGGGGAGCGAACGGG
rnacentral:rRNA from 1 species